rnacentral:rRNA from 1 species
GUGGGGAAUCUUGCGCAAUGGGCGAAAGCCUGACGCAGCCAUGCCGCGUGAAUGAUGAAGGUCUUAGGAUUGUAAAAUUCUUUCACCGGGGACGAUAAUGACGGUACCCGGAGAAGAAGCUCCGGCUAACUUCGUGCCAGCAGCCGCGGUAAUACGAAGGGGGCUAGCGUUGCUCGGAAUUACUGGGCGUAAAGGGCGCGUAGGCGGACAGCUUAGUCAGAGGUGAAAGCCCAGGGCUCAACCUUGGAAUUGCCUUUGAUACUGGCUGACUUGAGUUUGGGAGAGGUGAGUGGAACUCCGAGUGUAGAGGUGAAAUUCGUAGAUAUUCGGAAGAACACCAGUGGCGAAGGCGACUCACUGGCCCAAUACUGACGCUGAGGUGCGAAAGCGUGGGGAGCAAACAGGAUUAGAAACCCCGGUAGUCC